UGGAAAUUGCGAAAAUGAUUAAAAAUAAGAUGUCUGAUAUUUACAGAUGUUGAGGUAUAGAAUAAGAGUCUUAGACUCAGUAUUUACCCGAUAAAGCUGUCGGUACGCCGACAAAUGUCAGACCCUAUAAUAGAAAGAAAAGGCUACUGUAAGAGCAUGGAUGAGAUAUUUGAAAAAUGUAUAAAAAUAUUUCAAGUAUAG
rnacentral:lncRNA from 1 species